AUACAUAUAAAUCCAAAUAGAACCCGGACAUUUCUUACAAAUAUAAGUAUGCCGUUUUAGAUUAAAAUAGCUAAUAUUGUUCUGAAGUUUUACUGAGUAUAGACAUCACAAGGAUUUUCUUUCAACAGGCAGUUACCGUACAUUGUUCUUCCAGGUCCUGUCGUAUUUCUACAUGCCGCUGUCAGCAUGGCACCGAAAGCAAAAGAACGUAAGGCGGCAGUAGCCAAAACAAAUUUAGUUCAUGUGAAGGACGAGUUUGAAAAUGACAACGAUGAAGGAGAGGAUGACGAAAAAGAAAACAUGUAUGGUGAUAGUCCUCAACCGGACGACGAAUUUAAUUUGGACGAGGUUUUGCGUUUGGGUGGAACCCGAACCUGGCUGGUGGCUUGGCUGGUGAUCUGGAUGAGAAGGUGUCCCUAGGCAGUUUGGAUGAGGAGGACUUUGGAGUUUAACUUGGGGAGGAGGGAGGGGCCUUCAUGGACAGCAUUGGAGAGGAUGAUGAGGAAGAUUCAGAUGAGAUGGAGGUUCCACACACAAGGCCAGGUUCUAAAGAGGAAGGCAUCAGCGGAUCUUGACUUCAGUGGUUCUUUAGGUUCCAAACCAGUGAAGAAAACGAAAGGAGGAAACAGCCAUGUUGGCAUCUGCUGAAGAGUUUGUGUAUAUGUUGGAUGAAAAUGCUUGUUCUAAGUUUGACAACAUUGGCAUGAAUGCUAUGGCCAACAAAGACAAAGCAGGCGUCAGGCAGCUCAAGUGGGAAGCCCAGAGAGACGACUGGGUCCGUGGCAGAGACAUCAAGACCCUAAUGAAGAAGGCCAUGUUUAACAAGAAGAAGCCCCAGUUUGGCAAACCAAGGGCUGGCAAAAAUACUUUCAAGAAGAAGUAAUACUUUCUGGACCUAAGAUUACUUAUGUUUGUGUUCACACACCUCUAUUCCUUCUUGGACCAAUCUUCAAGGUCUUUCUCUCGAAUCCCAUAAACCCCAGCAUAUUCGUUGGACUUGUAAUAAACUGGAAAGAGAGUGAUAGUGUCUCUCAGCAUUCAACACAUUUAAUCAGAUGAUGGUUCAGUGGGCAACAUGCCCACUGUAGCAAAAUGUUUUGCAACUGUUUCCACUAAUGAAUACACCGGUGUAUUGCCUCAAUCUAACCCUGUUGCCAGUUCCAGGUUGUACUGCCAAUCAUUGGAGAAACUACUAAAUACCUGUGAAAUGAUCUAUUCUCUGUAUAGCUAUUUUAACUCUGUAUUGUAUUUUGUAUAGGUUUAUACAAAAUGAAAACAGUAUACUAGGAGAUGUCUGGUUUGCAGUAAUUGUAACUGGGGGGAAAAGUGUAAUAAUAUCGGCUGAUUUCAUUGCUGUGCAGCUUGGAAUUGAGGACCAAUUCCUACAGUUUGUGUGUUUUGAACUGUCUACAGCCCUUACCUUCCAGGACAGAGGGAAGCAUGUUGUUCAUUCUGUUCCUGAAAUCUACAAACAGAACAUUUUGUUACAAAGGUGUACAUAGCCCAAGGUAGAGUCCAUGACGUCCUUUCUAUAUAAAAUGUAAAUAAUA